CCUGAGUACGACGGAGCACGUGAAAUUCCGUCGGAAUCUGGGAGGACCAUCUCCUAAGGCUAAAUACUCUCUAGUGACCGAUAGUGAACCAGUACCGUGAGGGAAAGGUGAAAAGUACCCCGGAAGGGGAGUGAAAGAGAACUUGAAACCGUGUGCUUACAAGUAGUCAGAGCCCGUUAAUGGGUGAUGGCGUGCCUUUUGUAGAAUGAACCGGCGAGUUACGAUCUGAUGCAAGGUUAAGCAGAAAAUGUGGAGCCGUAGCGAAAGCGAGUCUGAAUAGGGCGAAUGAGUAUUUGGUCGUAGACCCGAAACCAGGUGAUCUACCCUUGGUCAGGUUGAAGUUCAGGUAACACUGAAUGGAGGACCGAACCGACUUACGUUGAAAAGUGAGCGGAUGAACUGAGGGUAGCGGAGAAAUUCCAAUCGAACUUGGAGAUAGCUGGUUCUCUCCGAAAUAGCUUUAGGGCUAGCCUCAAGUGAUGAUUAUUGGAGGUAGAGCACUGUUUGGACGAGGGGCCCCUCUCGGGUUACCGAAUUCAGACAAACUCCGAAUGCCAAAUAAUUUAACUUGGGAGUCAGAAUGUGGGUGAUAAGGUCCAUAUUCGAAAGGGAAACAGCCCAGACCACCAGCUAAGGUCCCAAAAUAUAUGUUAAGUGGAAAAGGAUGUGGCGUUGCCCAGACAACUAGGAUGUUGGCUUAGAAGCAGCCAUCAUUUAAAGAGUGCGUAAUAGCUCACUAGUCGAGUGACACUGCGCCGAAAAUGUACCGGGGCUAAACAUAUUACCGAAGCUGUGGAUUGUCCUUUGGACAAUGGUAGGAGAGCGUUCUAAGGGCGUUGAAGCAUGAUCGCAAGGACAUGUGGAGCGCUUAGAAGUGAGAAUGCCGGUGUGAGUAGCGAAAGACGGGUGAGAAUCCCGUCCACCGAUUGACUAAGGUUUCCAGAGGAAGGCUCGUCCGCUCUGGGUUAGUCGGGUCCUAAGCUGAGGCCGACAGGCGUAGGCGAUGGAUAACAGGUUGAUAUUCCUGUACCACCAUUAUUCGUUUUAAGCGAUGGGGGGACGCAGUAGGAUAGGCGAAGCGUGCUGUUGGAGUGCACGUCCAAGCAGUGAGAUUGAGUGUUAGGCAAAUCCGGCACUCUUAAGAUUGAGCUGUGAUGGGGAGAGGAACUUGUUCCUCGAGUCGUUGAUUUCACACUGCCGAGAAAAGCCUCUAGCUAGAAUAACGGUGCCCGUACCGCAAACCGACACAGGUAGUCAAGAUGAGAAUUCUAAGGUGAGCGAGCGAACUCUCGUUAAGGAACUCGGCAAAAUGACCCCGUAACUUCGGGAGAAGGGGUGCUCUUUGAGGUUCACGCUUCGAAGAGCCGCAGUGAAUAGGCCCAAGCGACUGUUUAUCAAAAACACAGGUCUCUGCUAAACCGUAAGGUGACGUAUAGGGGCUGACGCCUGCCCGGUGCUGGAAGGUUAAGAGGAGUGGUUAGCGCAAGCGAAGCUACGAAUCGAAGCCCCAGUAAACGGCGGCCGUAACUAUAACGGUCCUAAGGUAGCGAAAUUCCUUGUCGGGUAAGUUCCGACCCGCACGAAAGGCGUAACGAUUUGGGCACUGUCUCAACGAGAGACUCGGUGAAAUCAUAGUACCGGUGAAGAUGCCGGUUACCCGCGACAGGACGGAAAGACCCCGUGGAGCUUUACUGUAGCCUGAUAUUGAAAUUCGGUACAGUUUGUACAGGAUAGGUAGGAGCCUUAGAAGCGUGAGC
rnacentral:rRNA from 1 species